UACGGAGGGAGCUAGCGUUGUUCGGAAUUACUGGGCGUAAAGCGCACGUAGGCGGCUUUGUAAGUUAGAGGUGAAAGCCCGGGGCUCAACUCCGGAACUGCCUUUAAGACUGCAUCGCUUGAAUCCAGGAGAGGUGAGUGGAAUUCCGAGUGUAGAGGUGAAAAUUCGUAGAUAUUCGGAAGAACACCAGUGGCGAAGGCGGCUCAC
rnacentral:rRNA from 1 species